rnacentral:rRNA from 1 species
UACGUAGGGUGCAGGCGUUAAUCGGAAUUACUGGGCGUAAAGCGUGCGCAGGCGGUUUCCUAAGUCAGAUGUGAAAGCCCCGGGCUUAACCUGGGAACUGCGUUUGAAACUGGGAGACUAGAGUGUGGCAGAGGGGGGUGGAAUUCCACGUGUAGCAGUGAAAUGCGUAGAUAUGUGGAGGAACACCGAUGGCGAAGGCAGCCCCCUGGGUUAACACUGACGCUCAUGCACGAAAGCGUGGGGAGCAAACAGG